CAUCAAGUUUCUCUCCCUCCUCACGACUUCUGGAUCUUUCCUCCCUCGUCGUCGCCGCCGCCUCAGACCCCUUCUCUCAAACCCCAUUUCCAUCCAUCUAUUUACCGGAAAAAAAAAAAACCCGACCUCCCUCUCUCUCUCUCUCUCUCUUCUCUCUCACUCUGUGUGUGUGUUAGCCCUUUCAUUCAACACCACCACCGACAACCCCUCCUUUGCCACUGCUACCGUCGACCAUCUACGUCUACAAAGAUAUGAGUUGAUGAUGGAAAAGCUCUUUUUUAUCAUAAGGAAUUCAGGAUGAUUAAAAAAGCAUGUCAUGCUGCUUUUGAAAGGAUGCAACAAUUGGAUGAAGCGUUCAUCAGCUCUUGCUUUGCUAAAUGUCAUUUCACCUUUGCGGGCAAUUGUUAGGAAAUUGCUCUCUGGACAUAGAUGAAUUUUGUAAAUUGUGCUCAAACAAUGAAAUUUCAUAGAAUUAUUAAUAAAGUUUUGAUUCAAUGGAUUCUGUCU